rnacentral:rRNA from 1 species
GAUGAACGCUAGCGGCAGGCUUAACACAUGCAAGUCGAGGGGUAUAGUUCUUCGGAGCUAGAGACCGGCGCACGGGUGCGUAACGCGUAUGCAAUCUACCUUUUGCAGAGGGAUAGCCCAGAGAAAUUUGGAUUACUACCUCAUGGUAUGUGAGGAUGGCAUCAUUUUCACAUUAAAGUCACAACGGCAAAAGGUGAGCAUGCGUCCCAUUAGCUAGUUGGUAAGGUAACGGCUUACCAAGGAAACGAUGGGUAGGGGUCCUGAGAGGGCGAUCCCCCAAACUGGUACUGAGACACGGACCAGACUCCUACGGGAGGCAGCAGUGAGGAAUAUUGGACAAUGGGCGCAAGCCUGAUCCAGCCAUGCCGCGUGCAGGAUGACGGUCCUAUGGAUUGUAAACUGCUUUUGUACAGGAAGAAACACUGGUUCGUGAACCAGCUUGACGGUACUGUAAGAAUAAGGAUCGGCUAACUCCGUGCCAGCAGCCGCCGUAAGAC